UACGGAGGGUGCAAGCGUUAUCCGGAUUUACUGGGCGUAAAGAGCUCGUAGGCGGUCUGUCGCGUCGGCUGUGAAAACCCGGAGCUCAACUCCGGGCCUGCAGUCGAUACGGGCAAACUGGAGUACUGCAGGGGAGACUGGAAUUCCUGGUGUAGCGGUGAAAUGACGCAGAUAUCAGGAGGAACACCGGUGGCGAAGGCGGGUCUCUGGGCAGUAACUGACGCUGGAGGAGCGGAAAGCGU
rnacentral:rRNA from 1 species